GCACCGUCCCCGGGGGGGUGGCACCGUCCUGGGAGGUGGUGGCACUGUCCGGGGGGGGGGUGUCACCAUCACCUGGGGGGUGGCACUGUCCUGGGGGGGGGAUGUCACCAUCACUGGGGGGAUGUCACCAUCUCCAGGGGGAUGGCACCAUUGCUGGGAUGAAGAUGACGUUGUCCCAGGGGGGGUGGCACUGUCCCCAGGGAGGGAUGGCACCGUCUCCAGGGGGAUGGCACCAUCACUGGGGGGAUGUCACCGUCCCCAGGGAGGAUGUCCCCAUCUCCAGGGGGAUGGCACCGUCCCCAGGGAGGGAUGUCACCAUCUCCAGGGGCAUGGCACCAUCCUGGGGGGGAUGUCACCAUCCCCAGAGGGGGUGGCAGCAUCCCCAGGGGGAUGUCACCGUCUCCAGGGGGAUGUCACCAUCGCUGGGGGGAUGGCACCGUCCCCAGAGGGGGUGGCACCAUCCUGGGUGGGAUGUCCCCAUCACUGGGGGGGAUGGCACCAUCCCCAGGGGGGGUGGCACUGUCUCCAUGGGGAUGGCACCAUCUUGGGUGGGAUGUCACCAUCACUGGGGGGAUGUCCCUAUCCCCAGAGGGGGUGGCACCAUCCUCAGGGGGAUGUCACCAUCUCCAUGGGGAUGGCACCAUCCUGGGUGGGAUGUCACCAUCACUGGGAAGGAUGUCAUGGUCACCAGAGGGGGAUGGCACCAUCCUGAGGGGGAUGUCAUCAUCCCGGGGGGGGGGGUGGCACCACCCUCAGGAGGACGUCACCAUCACCGGGGGGAUGGCACCGUCCCCAGGGGGGGGUGGCACGGUCUCCAGGGAGGGAUGGCACCUUCUUCAGGGGGAUGGCACCAUCCUGGGGGGGAUGGCACCGUCCCCAGAGGGGGUGGCACCAUCCCCAAGAGGAUGUCCCCAUCACUGGAGGGGAUGGCACCGUCCCAAGGGGGGGUGGCACUGUCUCCAGGAGGAUGGCAUGGUCCCCAGGGAGGGAUGGCACCAUCUCCAGGGGGAUGGCACCAUCGCUGGGUGGGAUGCCACCAUCACUGGGGGGAUGUCCCCAUCCCCAGAGGGGAUGGCACCAUCCUGGGUGGGAUGGCACCAUCCCUGAGGGGAUGUCACCAUCACUGGGGGGAUGGCACCGUCCCCAGAGGGGGUGGCACCAUGCCUAGGAGGAUGUCACCAUCUCCAGGGGGAUGUCCCCAUCACUGGGGGGGAUGGCACCGUCCCAAGGGGGGGUGGCACUGUCUCCAGGAGGAUGGCAUGGUCCCCAGGGAGGGAUGGCACCGUCUCCAGGGGGAUGGCACCAUCUUGGGGGGGAUGUCACCAUCACUGGGGGGAUGUCACCAUCCCCGGGGGCGCGGGGAGGGGGGGGGGGAUGGGGCUCAGCAGAGCUGGAAGUAGAAGUCGAGGAGGUGGGUGGCAUCGGGGUGGCGGGAGAGCCCCAGGGGCUGGUGGCCACGGGCCGAGGUGCAGAGGAACCAGCCGGGGUUGGCGACCGACUCGAAGCGCCACAGCCCGUCCUUGUAGGAGCGGAAGAAGGUGAAGGCGGCCGAGGCCACCCCAGCCUGGGGCAGCUCCCUGAUGUCAGCGUCCUGCGGUGGCCACCACACCACCCCACCCCCCCACCCCCGGCGUGGACGUCACCACCCGUGGUGGCCACCUCCGGGACAGCCCCACCUGGCUCUGCCCUGCUCCACAGCCCCAUGGUGGCACCAGCCCCAUGAUGGCCCAGUCCUGUGGUCUCCAGCCCUGUGGUCUCCAGCCCCAUGGUGUCCCCUUGGUGGCCCCAGACCCACAAUGUCCCAUCCCCGUGGUCCCCAUCCCUGGGAUCCCCUUGGUGGCCCCAGCCCCACAAUGUCCCAUCCCCACGGUUCCCAUGGUGGCCCCAGCCCCAUGGUGGCCCCUUGGUGGCCCCAGACCCACAGUGCCCCAUCCCCGUGGUCCCCAUCCC
rnacentral:lncRNA from 1 species